rnacentral:rRNA from 1 species
UACAGAGGGGGCAAGCGUUGUUCGGAAUUACUGGGCGUAAAGGGCGCGUAGGCGGCCUUCUAAGUCGAACGUGAAAUCCCCGGGCUCAACCCGGGAACUGCGUCCGAUACUGGCAGGCUUGAAUCCGGGAGAGGGAUGCGGAAUUCCAGGUGUAGCGGUGAAAUGCGUAGAUAUCUGGAGGAACACCGGUGGCGAAGGCGGCAUCCUGGACCGGCAUUGACGCUGAGGCGCGAAAGCCAGGGGAGCAAACGGGG